GUCUGGUGCAGGUCCAGGGCCAGGUGGUCGUGUCGCCGCCUCCGCUCCCGCCCCUCGCCGCUCCGCGUGUCACUCGCCGCUUCUCUUCCAUUCCACCCCGCCCCCAUUCUCCCUCCUCGCGCGUCGCGAUGAAAGAGGCGCAGGCUUGAGCGAGAGGACCGCGCUGGACACCACCGCAUGCUAGGGAGGCAGGGAGGGGAGCCGAGCCGAGGACGAUGGCGCUGGGCGUGUUGUUCCACGGCGCACAGCUAGCGCUGGAUCUGGCGGUGGCCGGGAUGUCGCUGGCGGUGGCGCUCGGGUUCUUCGCCCUCAUCACUACCUUGCUCUGCUCCGCGGCGUUCCUCCACCACUCCAAGCCCGCCGCGUAGUCAUAGCCUCCACAGCGACCAACGCGUCUCAACCUCUGGGGAUCGUAAUACUGUUGCUGGUAUAAUUCCUCCACAUCAAUUGCAGAGGAGGUGCUUUAAUCAACUGCUUUAUAGCACUUACAGAUGCAAAGAGUAGUCGAUUGCACACAUCAGGUGAUAGCUAUAGGCUCUUGUACCACGUGUAUGUUUCUUUAUGCUGGUUUGUAAACGAGAUGUUUGUACUUUGUACUAUAGUUUUUGUAAUCAGUCUCUCUUUCAAGAUUUACGUCUCAUAUAAAUAGUAUGUGCAUUGUUUAAUUCGCAUGUUUAACGGCCA